rnacentral:rRNA from 1 species
CUGUGUUUGAAUACUACAGCAUGGAAUAACAAAAUUGAACAAGUCAGAAUUUUGUUCUUUUUUCUUAUUUUGGCUUAGUUACGAUUAAUAGGAGUAGCUUGGGGGCAUUUGUAUUCAGAUGUCAGAGGUGAAAUUCUUAGAUUUUCUGGAGACAAGCAACUGCGAAAGCAUUUGCCUAAAAUACUUCCAUUAAUCAAGAACGAAAGUUAAGGGAGUGAAGACGAUCAGAUACCGUCGUAAUCUUAACCAUAAACUAUGCCGACUAGGUGUUGGAUGAUAGAGUAAAAAAUAAAAGAGACAUUCAUAUAUAUGAGUGUUUCUUUUAGAUAGCUUCCUUCAGUACCUUAUGAGAAAUCAAAGUCUUUGGGUUCUGGGGCGAGUAUUCGCGCAAGCGAGAAAGUUAAAAGAAUUGACGGAAGGGCACCACCAGGCGUGGAGCUUGCGGCUUAAUUUGACUCAACACGGGGAAACUCACUAGUUUAAGACAAGAGUAGGAUUGACAGAUUAAUAGCUCUUUCUUGAUUUCUUGGAUGGUGAUGCAUGGCCGUUUUUAGUUCGUGAAUAUGAUUUGUCUGGUUAAUUCCGAUAACGAACGAGAUCUUAACCUGCUAAUUAGCGGUAAAUACACUAUAUUCUUAAGUGAAAUUAGAAUAUAGAUAAAUUGUGCUAAUUUUGAUUAAAAUAUUAGAAUGUUUUUUUUAAUAAAAACGUUCUUUUCCCUUUUUUUCUUAAUUAUGCAUAUUUAUUCUUUUUCUUUUUUCGC